GGAGUUGUGGCUCAGAGAUAGAGCGCUCAUCUAGCACAUGAGAGGCCUUGAGUUCAAUCCUCAGCACCA
rfam:Ictidomys tridecemlineatus contig071411, whole genome shotgun sequence.